AUAUAGUGUAGUGUGUGUAUAUAAUGUAAUGUAGGGUGUGUGUAUAUAAUGCACACACUACACACUCUGCAUUAUAUACACACACUACGUUACAUUAUAUUAUAUACACACACUACAUUAUA